rnacentral:rRNA from 1 species
UCCAGACUCCUACGGGAGGCAGCAGUGAGGAAUAUUGGUCAAUGGCCGAGAGGCUGAACCAGCCAAGUCGCGUGAGGGAUGACGGCCCUACGGGUUGUAAACCUCUUUUGUCGGGGAGCAAAGAGAGUCACGUGUGGCUCAUUGAGAGUACCCGAAGAAAAAGCAUCGGCUAACUCCGUGCCAGCAGCCGCGGUAAUACGGAGGAUGCGAGCGUUAUCCGGAUUUAUUGGGUUUAAAGGGUGCGCAGGCGGAAGAUCAAGUCAGCGGUAAAAUUGGGAGGCUCAACCUCUGCGAGCCGUUGAAACUGGUUUUCUUGAGUGAGCGAGAAGUAUGCGGAAUGCGUGGUGUAGCGGUGAAAUGCAUAGAUAUCGCGCAGAACUCCGAUUGCGAAGGCAGCGUACCGGUGCCAGACUGACGCUGAGGCACGAAAGCGUGGGGAUCGAACAGGAUUAGAUACCCCUGUA